GACGAAGGAUGCAAGCGUUAUCCGGAUUCAUUGGGUUUAAAGGGAGCGUAGGCGGAUUUGUAAGUCAGUGGUGAAAUCUCUUCGCUUAACGAGGAAACUGCCAUUGAUACUGCAGAUCUUGAGUACAGUUGCCGUUGGCGGAAUAUGACAUGUAGUGGUGAAAUACUUAGAUAUGUCAUAGAACACCGAUUGCGAAGGCAGCUAACGAAGCUGUAACUGACGCUGAGGCUCGAAAGUGCGGGGAUCAAACAGG
rnacentral:rRNA from 1 species